GACGAACGCUGGCGGCGUGCUUAACACAUGCAAGUCGAACGGAAAGGCCCUGCUUUUGUGGGGUGCUCGAGUGGCGAACGGGUGAGUAACACGUGAGUAACCUGCCCUUGACUUUGGGAUAACUUCAGGAAACUGGGGCUAAUACCGGAUAGGAGCUCCUGCUGCAUGGUGGGGGUUGGAAAGUUUCGGCGGUUGGGGAUAGACUCGCGGCUUAUCAGCUUGUUGGUGGGGUAGUGGCUUACCAAGGCUUUGACGGGUAGCCGGCCUGAGAGGGUGACCGGCAACAUUGGGACUGAGAUACGGCCCAGACUCCUACGGGAGGCAGCAGUGGGGAAUAUUGCACAAUGGGCGGAAGCCUGAUGCAGCAACGCCGCGGGCGGGAUGACGGCCUUCGGGUUGUAAACCGCUUUCGCCUGUGACGAAGCGUGAGUGACGGUAAUGGGUAAAGAAGCACCGGCUAACUACGUG
rnacentral:rRNA from 1 species